rnacentral:tmRNA from 1 species
GGGGGUGAAACGGGUUCGACGGGGAUAUAUAAGCUCGGGCUGCAUGUCGAGGAUUCUGCCAUCCUCGUAAAAAAGGUAGAACGUAAAUAUAGUCGCAGAUGACUAUGCAUAUGCUGUGGCAGCAUAAAUAAGCCACUGCCCCCCCGGUUAUUCCUGCGGAUCGGGGUAGGGCAUCGACUAGCGGGAUAGCUUCCGGAUUUCUCCAGUGGUUCCAGCGGCGAAACUCAACAGUGGAUAGUGUUAAAGACCCUGGGUCCCGAUAGGGUUGCGGCACGAUAAAUCACCUUUUACGGGAACAAACAUGUAGACGCCUGCAGGGGAGUAUUUUCGGACGGGGGUUCAACUCCCCCCACCUCCACCA